rnacentral:tRNA from 1 species
GAAAUAAUAGUUCAAAAAGAAUUUAUGAUUUGCAUUCAUAAGAUGUAGUAUCUACUUAUUUU